rnacentral:rRNA from 1 species
UACGUAGGGGGCUAGCGUUGCUCGGAAUUACUGGGCGUAAAGGGCGCGUAGGCGGCACUGUUAGUCAGGCGUGAAAUUCCUGGGCUCAACCUGGGGACUGCGCUUGAUACGGCAGAGCUUGAGGAUGGAAGAGGGUCGCGGAAUUCCCAGUGUAGAGGUGAAAUUCGUAGAUAUUGGGAAGAACACCGGUGGCGAAGGCGGCGACCUGGGCCAUUACUGACGCUGAGGCGCGACAGCGUGGGGAGCAAACAGG